rnacentral:rRNA from 1 species
GACGAACCGUGCGAACGUUGUUCGGAUUCACUGGGCUUAAAGGGCGCGUAGGCGGCUUGCCAAGUCAGGGGUGAAAUCUUUCGGCUCAACCGGAAAAGUGCUUCUGAUACUGGCGGGCUGGAGGAGGGUAGGGGCAGAUGGAACUUCCGGUGGAGCGGUGAAAUGCGUAGAUAUCGGAAGGAACGCCGGUGGCGAAAGCGAUUUGCUGGACCCUUUCUGACGCUGAGGCGCGAAAGCCAGGGGAGCAAACGGG